GGCAGACCACAAAAAAGGACGUCCCAGUUCGGAUUACAGCCUGCAACCCGGCUGUAUGAAGCUGGAAUCGCUAGUAAUCGCAGAUCAGAAUGCUGCGGUGGAUACGUUCCCGGGUCUUGUACACACCGCCCGUCACACCAUGGGAGCCAGGAAUGCCCGAAGCCAGUGGCCUAACCGCAAGGGAGGAGCUGUCGAAGGCAGGCCCGGUAACUGGGGUGAAGUCGUAACAAGGUAAC
rnacentral:rRNA from 1 species